rnacentral:rRNA from 1 species
CAGUAGCCGCGGGAAUACGGAGGGUGCAAGCGUUAAUCGGAAUUACUGGGCGUAAAGCGCACGCAGGCGGUUUGUUAAGUCAGAUGUGAAAUCCCCGAGCUUAACUUGGGAACUGCAUUUGAAACUGGCAAGCUAGAGUCUUGUAGAGGGGGGUAGAAUUCCAGGUGUAGCGGUGAAAUGCGUAGAGAUCUGGAGGAAUACCGGUGGCGAAGGCGGCCCCCUGGACAAAGACUGACGCUCAGGUGCGAAAGCGUGGGGAGCAAACAGGAUUAGAUACCCGCGUAGUCCCUGUCUCUUAUAU